GGAGGCGGGCAGCCGGGCA
rnacentral:misc_RNA from 1 species